GAACGCUGGCGGCAGGCCUAACACAUGCAAGUCGAGCGGAUGAGUGGAGCUUGCUCCAUGAUUCAGCGGCGGACGGGUGAGUAAUGCCUAGGAAUCUGCCUGGUAGUGGGGGACAACGUUUCGAAAGGAACGCUAAUACCGCAUACGUCCUACGGGAGAAAGUGGGGGAUCUUCGGACCUCACGCUAUCAGAUGAGCCUAGGUCGGAUUAGCUAGUUGGUGAGGUAAAGGCUCACCAAGGCGACGAUCCGUAACUGGUCUGAGAGGAUGAUCAGUCACACUGGAACUGAGACACGGUCCAGACUCCUACGGGAGGCAGCAGUGGGGAAUAUUGGACAAUGGGCGAAAGCCUGACCCAGCCAUGCCGCGUGUGUGAAGAAGGUCUUCGGAUUGUAAAGCACUUUAAGUUGGGAGGAAGGGCAGUAAGUUAAUACCUUGCUGUUUUGACGUUACCAACAGAAUAAGCACCGGCUAACUUCGUGCCAGCAGCCGCGGUAAUACGAAGGGUGCAAGCGUUAAUCGGAAUUACUGGGCGUAAAGCGCGCGUAGGUGGUUCGUUAAGUUGGAUGUGAAAGCCCCGGGCUCAACCUGGGAACUGCAUCCAAAACUGGCGAGCUAGAGUAUGGCAGAGGGUGGUGGAAUUUCCUGUGUAGCGGUGAAAUGCGUAGAUAUAGGAAGGAACACCAGUGGCGAAGGCGACCACCUGGGCUAAUACUGACACUGAGGUGCGAAAGCGUGGGGAGC
rnacentral:rRNA from 1 species